UUUACUGGCGAAAUGGCGGCCAACUUUGCCGGGUAUGGCCACGAGCAGUUGCAAGGAUUCGCACAAGAGUUUCUAAAAGCAUAUUAUAGUUUUCUAGAUGGACCUGCAGCAAACAGGGCAGGAAUUGCCAUACUUUAUAAUGAAAACUGUCAGAUGACAUAUGAAGGUGACAAGUUUGCAGGGAAAGCUGCUGUCGAAGCAAAAUUUGCUAGUCUAAGCAGUAUAAUGUCAAUGGUGCAUGAUAUUUCAUCAUUUGAUGUACAGUUAGUGAGUGAACAAUGCUAUUAUCAUGACAGUGCUGGGUCAGUUUAAGACUGAAGACCAGGAACAUGCUCUUGGAUUUACACAGACGUUCUUUGUGAUGGGAAUGGAAGGAAGAUUUACGAUACUAAAUGACUUUUUCCGACUUGCACUGUUUAACAAUGCCUAAAAACUGUAUGAUCUUAUUUUGUGAAAUGGUCUAGAUGUGAACAACCCUUCAGGCAGAAAAAGUCACCAUGGCAUAGUAACAAUAAUGGAUUGAAGUGGAAUUUUGUGACCAGCAUUUAAAAAAAAAAAAAUCUUGAAAAUAAUUGGUUUGAAAUUUAAAUUGGAUUAGUUCACAAGCUUGCCGCCAGGUGUUGGUCUUGUUCUAUGUGCCGGGGAAAAUAUGCAGCACAACAAUUUUAAUGGUACAUUGAAUGAUGCACAGUAACAAGGAGGAUAUUAGCCAGAACAAAUAUCCAGACCAGCAUGAUAAUAAGUUGAUCAAGGAUACUUUUCACCAGAAAGAAAUUAAACUAGAAUCGAAUGAAAUAAUAAAGUUAGAGAGGGAAUUUAAGUGUUAAAAAAUGUUUUUGAAAUUGAUGUUAUUCUUUCAAUAUAUAUUAUACCAAUAUAUUGAUACUUGUCAUCCUGUUUGUCAAUAUAAUUACCUUGUAGCUUAAUACUAUAGAUUGCAUAGGUCACAUUUACAUGUAGUCUUGAUUGAUGUUGAAGCUAUUUUUUGUAUACGUUUUAAUAACCUACCAGGUAUUUUUAUGUUUUGUGCGAGUGUGUACAUUGGAACCUCAUGUUUAACGCCAUUUCUCCACUUCUGUUGAGCAGUCCCUCAUUCUUCUGUUUGAUGUAAAAUGUCCAACCCUUGUACUAAAUAUUAAAGACAAAAUCAAAAAUACGAUGAGAAUAUUUCAUGGUUUCCUGUUGAAUAGCAAAUAUAGUUUAAUGAUGACAAAAUAUUAAUAUUUUUCAAAGGUGAAUAAAGUUAAAUAUUUAUUGUCUUUGGUUUUGGGAGACAUAAAUAUGUGUUUACCCCUGGCCUGGGCCUUGGGGAACAAGCUACACCUUGGAUGAACUAAUAUUCAUUUCAUACCAAACCAAGGGCAACAAAUUGUACACUGUACCAACAAAUUAUGACAUCAAAUUUUAAGCAAAGUUCCCACAGGCCACUGUCCAAUCAUUUGGUUCAAAUUGUUUAAAAUUCAAAUUUCAUUUCCGUCCAUUUUUCUUCAAGAAUGCUUUAAAUGAUUUCGUAGCUGCCGCUGUGACUUUCUUCAUGUAGAAAACGUCUUUUUGAGAGAAUGUUUUCUAUCGAAUUCUCGUUUGAAAUGUAAAAUCUGCAGGCUGCUAUUUUUUGUCAUCUGGUUGAAGUCGGAACUAGUAGGCAAAGAUCAAUUACUCCUAUGGACAAGAGAGACUCCGAAUAGAGGAAACUAGAUUAUAAGUGGGCGCCACAAUGUUAAUUCGAUCAAAUACACUGUUGUUUAAAUGAAGUGUAAUAAUCAUAUUUCUUGUAUUCAAUGGGAAACCAUUUUACAAUUUAUUUCUGUUGAUUGAAUUUUUGAAGUCCUGAAAUGUUAAAAAAGUUGGGAAAGGAAAAGUUGAAAAUUUGGCAUUAUUAUUGUAUUUGUCAUCCUUGACAAGGCUUCCAUUUUGAAUUGGCUACUAAUUGCCAUAUUCAACCAUCUGCUAUUAUUAAGUAAAGGUUUGUUGACAAAAAUGUUUUAUAUUCAGCAGUUUGAUAGGUAAUACUUCAGUGUAUGUUGCUUUAUUGUGACAAAACCAUCUCUUCUGAUGUCAUCUUUAUUUGAACUUCUUUGGAUUCUUUUAUUGCAGUGAGUUGAUGUAAAAUAUACACUUUUAAUAUCUACUCUUCCAUAGUGGAAGUUUCAGUUGAUCUAUUUCUUCGAAUCUUGAUAGAAGUAAACUGACAAAAAUAUAAUUCUUUACACCAUAUGUGUUUUCAAAAUCCUUUGCUUUGUUUUCAAAUAAUUCAUUUUGUGCAGUAAUACAAUAAUUGUAGCAUUUAAUAAUAGCAUUUUCAUUAUAUAUAUGAAAAAAUACAAAAUUUCCAUUGUGUUGAAUUCUAAUGUGUGGAUAGUGUUCCUUGUUUUUACACAUAUAUGAAAAAAAGGAAGGAAAGAAAAAAGAAAGAAAAAAUAACCAGGAAUAUAGUAUGUAUAUGAUAAAAUAUUGCUAUUAUAUUUCUGCUGAUGGACCUUUUUGUCUAGGUUUUGUGCUGAACUAACCCUUAACAAUUUUGGUUUAGGUGAGUUGUAAAUCCAUCCCAGCUAAUAACAUGUAUGUUAGUAUUUUGUUGCGGGCUAUACAAUAUAUGCAUCACUUAUUUAAAUCCAGUAGGCUUGGAGCCGCAUGUUUGUUAAGUAUACUGGACCGAAAUUGAUCUUGUUUAUAUUGUAGGUAUGGCGAAGUAUGGCAUAUGUCCAAAUAAAAACAUACUGCACGAGACAAAUCUUUUUGGUUACUUUUUAUUGCCUGUGUGCGUAACUGGGUAUAUACUACAUACUUUGUGUUAUUCAAUUCACCAUCUUCGUCUUUAUACCUGAUUAAAUUUCACAAUUGAUACAAGU